rnacentral:rRNA from 1 species
CAACUUUCAACAACGGAUCUCUUGGCUCUCGCAUCGAUGAAGAACGCAGCGAAAUGCGAUACGUAAUGUGAAUUGCAGAAUUCAGUGAAUCAUCGAAUCUUUGANCGCACAUUGCACUCUCUGGUAUUCCGGAGAGUAUGCUUGUUUGAGUAUCUGU